GUCUAUGAAGAGAAGAGGGGCCAGCUGAAGGCAGAACUGCUCCGCGCUGGAAAUCUCCGGCUGCCUUGCAGCCCCAAAAACGGUGGAGCCUCAAAAUGUCAGCAUGCCGCAAGUUCUGAAAGUGUGUGUUAUUAAAAUAAUACAUCAUUGUUUAAUGGGAUGUUUAAAAUCAGAAGAUAAUGUGGAUGGAAACAAUGAAACAGAACUUGUUUACAGCUUAUGUAUUCGGCUUUCUAUGCCGCAUAUUUUCUGUGUCAUCAUCAGUAUUACUGACUAAGUGAAUAAAUUAUAUUUCACCAGGGAUACACUUGAUGAUCUCAAGACAUUCAUACAGUGUAUCGAGAAGAGUCAUAAACCGCUGUCAUUAAUGUCAAAGAUUGAAGCUGAAUUGCCAUUGGCUCUGAAGAGGAUCAUAUGCCAGAAUGUAACAGAAAUUAAUUACAAGAAACUGUUAAAGCUAUGAAAUUUAUAAUAAAAUGUGCUUUACAAAACAUA